UCAAACUUGGUCAUUUAGAGGAAGUAAAAGUCGUAACAAGGUCUCCGUUGGUGAACCAGCGGAGGGAUCAUUACAGAGUUACACAACUCCCAAACCCCUGUGAACAUUACCUACUGUUGCCUCGGCAGGGCCCUCUGGCGCCCUGCCGGCGGACCACAAAACUCUUGCUGUAACCUGGCUUCUGAGUAUUACAAAACAAAAUAGUUAAAACUUUCAACAACGGAUCUCUUGGUUCUGGCAUCGAUGAAGAACGCAGC
rnacentral:misc_RNA from 1 species